rnacentral:rRNA from 1 species
CCUACGGGAGGCAGCAGUAGGGAAUAUUGCUCAAUGGGGGAAACCCUGAAGCAGCAACGCCGCGUGGAGGAUGAAGCCUUUCGGAUUGUAAACUCCUUUUGUUAGAGAAGAUAAUGACGGUAUCUUACGAAUAAGCACCUGCUAACUCCGUGCCAGCAGCCGCGGUAAUACGGAGGGUGCAAGCGUUACCCGGAUUCACUGGGCGUAAAGAGCGCGUAGGCGGGGUAGUAAGUCAGAGGUGAAAUCCUAUGGCUUAACCAUAGAACUGCAGUUGAAACUGUUACGCUAGAGUAUGGGAGAGGUAGGAGGAAUUCGUGGUGUAGGGGUAAAAUCCGUAGAGAUCAAGAGGAAUACUCAUUGCGAAGGCGACCUGCUAGAACAUGACUGACGCUGAUGCGCGAAAGCGUGGGGAGCGAACAGGAUUAGAUACCCGUGUAGUC